UACGUAGGGCGCGAGCGUUGUCCGGAAUUAUUGGGCGUAAAGAGCUCGUAGGCGGCCGGUUGCGUCUGCUGUGAAAUCCCGGGGCUUAACCCCGGGCGUGCAGUGGAUACGGGCCGGCUGGAGGCAGGCAGGGGAGAAUGGAAUUCCCGGUGUAGCGGUGAAAUGCGCAGAUAUCGGGAAGAACACCCGUGGCGAGGGCGGUUCUCUGGGACGGUACUGACGCUGAGACGCGAAAGCGUGGGGAGCGAACAGG
rnacentral:rRNA from 1 species